rnacentral:sRNA from 1 species
GCUGGGUAUGGUGAUGCACACCUAUAAUCCCAGCAGCUCAGGAGGCUGAGGCAGGAGGAUCGUAAGUUUGAGGCCAGCCUCAUCAAUUUAGUAAGACCCUGUCUUAG